AGCAAAGCUUUGGGAGUUGUAGUAGAAACUUAUUUGAGUCAACAAACUAAAGCAAGUGCAAUGUAAUGAACAAGGGUGGAUAAGAUGGAAAAUAACAAGAGAAGAGCUUGGGAAGAAAGAGAAAAGAGUCAAACAAAAGAAACAAGGAGGUGGCAUAAGAAAAAAGAGGUUACCAAGAAUUGGAGAGUGUAGAGGAAUCCCUGGGAGUUGUAAUGAUCUCAAGUAGCAAAGGUAACAAUAAGGAAGGAAAUGAAAAAAGGAAAACGGCUCCACCCAAAUGGAAGCGACAAAGAGAAAACAAAACAAAGAUAACUAACACGUCAAAGAAGAUGGAGGUGGAAUUGGGGGAAAAGUAAAUUGUUUGAGGUUAAAAUAAAAAAUAGGACCCCUAUGGAUAUCUUAAGGGGAUACAAGAAGAGAAUACAAGAGGUUGAAGAUGGAGGAAUCAGUAAGAAUAAUGUACCAGAGGUGGUGUUGGAUGAUCAACACUGUCUACAACAAUGAAACUCUUUUGUUGGAACUAUAGGAGGUUAGAGAAUCACCGUACAUUUUGAGCCUUGCCAAGGCUCACAAGACUUGAAAUCCUAGUUUGGUGGUUUUUAAUGG
rnacentral:lncRNA from 1 species